CUUGUUAUGGCAACUGCAACUUUAUCUAAAUCUGUAGUUCAUAGAGACAACUAUGGCUUUUUAUGACCUGUGUAUUGAAGAACAAGUUUUUAUGUCUACUUGCCUGUUGCUGGUGCCACUGCAUCAAUUCCAUAGGGUUACCGUCAGGCCAAUAUAUCUCCUCCCAGCCCAUCUUACCAUCUAGUGGAUGUAUGGUGUCCGUAGGGAUAGUUUUAGCAGGAGGCAGAGGAAUCAAGGGAGUUUUUUUUUUCCUCAUACAAUUCUGUGUUCAUUUUUUUCUUCAUGUUUUUGCUAUCUAGAGAGAGUUUUUUUUUUUUUUCUGGCUAUUUUUGAACUGCAAUGUAACCACCUUUUUUUGAUGGCACUUGAAAUGAACAAGCACUUUCAUGGGCAGUGGUACUUUGACUAGCUUUUUUCUACGUGCUGUUACUAGAAAUGUUAACUUAGUUAGAAAAAUUCUUUCUUCAUAAUAAUGCUGCAGAUUGUAAUGCCAGGAUCAGGAUGUGUAGUGGGGAUAAUGUAAAUGGAUGCAAAACAGUUCUUUAUGAUGUUACUUUUGGAGUCAGUAAAACAUGUUCUGUGUUCUCUCUCUGUUCUCACAGGCACAUAAUACUCCAGAGCUUCAAAAUCAGAAGUAAAAUCAUUUGGACAGUUGCCACCUGCCCUCCUAAAUAGGCUUUCCAGCCACUGUUCCUCAAUCCUGUCUGGCUGUGUGGGGUUGAAUGUCAUGGAACUGGACUUGGCUCAUCCAACUAGCCAAUCCAGGUUACUCUGCAAAGCCUUCCUAACUUCAAGUAGAUUGACAGCCCUGCCUAAAUUCCUCUUGUCUGUGUAAGUACUGAGAGUGCGUUUGAUCUCCUCGUCAAUAUCAUUAAUAAAAAUGUGAAACAAAACUGACCCCACUGCUGAGAUCUGGGGGAUGUCGCUGAUGACUAGCCACCACCUGGAAUGAACUCAGUUCAUUUUGACUCUGAGCCCUGCCUUCUAUUCAGUUCUUCACUCAGUUAAGUAUAGCUAACCAAAGAAACCUAAAAUUAUUAACAAACUAACAGUAUGCCUAUUGCCUGUG
ensembl:lncRNA